GUUGGAAACGACUGCUAAUACCGCAUAAGCCCACAGGUCGGCAUCGACCAGAGGGAAAAGGAGCAAUCCGCUUUGAGAUGGCCUCGCGUCCGAUUAGCUAGUUGGUGAGGUAGUGGCCCACCAAGGCGACGAUCGGUAGCCGGACUGAGAGGUUGAACGGCCACAUUGGGACUGAGACACGGCCCAGACUCCUACGGGAGGCAGCAGUGGGGAAUAUUGCACAAUGGGGGAAACCCUGAUGCAGCGACGCCGCGUGGAGGAAGAAGGUCUUCGGAUUGUAAACUCCUGUUG
rnacentral:rRNA from 1 species